rnacentral:rRNA from 1 species
GACGAACGCUGGCGGCGUGCUUAACACAUGCAAGUCGAACGGAAAGGCCCUGCUUGCAGGGUGCUCGAGUGGCGAACGGGUGAGUAACACGUGGGUGAUCUGCCCCUUACUUUGGGAUAAGCCUGGGAAACUGGGUCUAAUACUGGAUAGGACCAUGCUGUAGGGGGUGUGGUGGAGAGAUUAGUUUCGGUAAGGGAUGAGCUCGCGGCCUAUCAGCUUGUUGGUGGGGUAAUGGCCUACCAAGGCGUCGACGGGUAGCCGGCCUGAGAGGGUGGACGGCCACAUUGGGACUGAGAUACGGCCCAGAAUCCUACGGGAGGCAGCAGUGGGGAAUAUUGCACAAUGGGCGCAAGCCUGAUGCAGCGACGCCGCGUGGGGGAUGACGGCCUUCGGGUUGUAAACUCCUUUCAGCCAUGACGAAGCCCUUGUGGUGACGGUAGUGGUAGAAGAAGCACCGGCUAACUACGUG